CAAUAGCGUAUAUUUAAGUUGUUGCAGUUAAAAAGCUCGUAGUUGGAUUUCGGUUGAGAGCGGCCGGUCCGCCGUUUGGUGUGCACUGGCUGGUUUCAACUUCCUGUAGAGGACGCGCUUUGGGCUUAACGGUCUGAACGUGGAGUCUACGUGGUUACUUUGAAAAAAUUAGAGUGUUCAAAGCGGGCUUACGCUUGAAUAUUUCAGCAUGGAAUAACACUAUAGGACUCCUGUCCUAUUUCGUUGGUCUCGGGACGGGAGUAAUGAUUAAUAGGGAUAGUUGGGGGCACCUGUAUUGCGUUGUCAGAGGUGAAAUUCUUGGAUUUACGCAAGACAAACAGCUGCGAAAGCGUCUGCCAAGGAUGUUUUCAUUAA
rnacentral:rRNA from 1 species